GAACGCACCUUGCGCCCUUUGGCUAUUCCGAAGGGCAUGCCUGUUUGAGUAUCAUGAACACCUCAACUCUCAUGGUUUGCCAUGACGAGCUUGGACUUUGGGGGUCUUGCUGGCCUAUGGUCAGCUCCUCUAAAAUGAAUCAGCUUGCCAGUGUUUGGUGGCAUCACAGGUGUGAUAACUAUCUACGCUUGUGGAUUUCCACCAGAUAACCUUCAGCGAUGAAGGUUCGCUGGGGCUCAUAAAUGUCUCUCCUCAGUGGAGAUGGCUCUUUUGAAUGUUUGAUCUCAAAUCAGGUAGGACUACCCGCUGAACUUA
rnacentral:misc_RNA from 1 species